rnacentral:lncRNA from 1 species
AGAAAGGGUGACCUGGAAGGUGUGUGAGGGCCCCGCCCACGGGCCCCUGUGAUGGUCAUGGCCUCAAGAAUCACAGUCCAGUUUCCAUCAUUAUCUUCUAUGGAGUUCUUCAUUCCCACAUCUGUGGCCCUUAAAAUCCUACGGUUGAGUGCCUGCCUUGGAUCAGCAGUCAGUUCAUUACCUUGGUUCUCAGACGAUGCUUGCAACAACGCCAUGCGAUUCGCCCACUCUUGGGUAGAUGGAGACAUUGGGGCUCAGGUGUGGGUAAGUGAUUGUGAGACUCCUUGUUAAGCGGCAGAACCAGGACUCAAAUUCACACAGAUCUGAUUCCAAACCCUGUGGCCCUAAGCACAGUGUUAUUAGACAAUAAGCCCUCUGCAGGGAGAUUUCCAGUGCUGAUGGCAGAGUCUGUCAUGAAGGAGGACUCUGCUGAAUUUUUCUUUGAACCCCAGGAAGUGCCUGGCACAGUUCUCUGAAGAAAUUAGAAUGCAGCCAGUGGUUACUAAAGAAAUGAAUAAGUCAAGUAAAUGGACAGAGCUGUGUGCUAGGAGUUCUUUUGGGACUACAGAAAUGGGUCAGAAUUGGAAAUGUCCAGAAAAUACUCUUGGAUAAUUAUGAAAGCCACAUAUAGGAGCUCAGGUUUAACUCCAUAUGAAAUGAAGAGUCACAAAAGAAAAGGAGGAGGAGCAUGUUCAGGCAGAACCUCAAGCUUGAGAGUGCUAUGAAAUAUGUUCGAGACUCAGAAAAUAGUUCCUGAAAGAAAUGACACAUUAAUGAAUGAAGGUAUAGUUAUUUGGAGAAAAUGAACCUAGAUAUAAGAGGAACCAUAUCAAAAUGUGUUUCUUUAACUGCGGUCUUCAGAACCUGUGAGGUUCGUUGGUAUAUUCUUGGGAACUAUGUGUGUUUGAGAAACAUAUUUCUGGUGCCAAACUGACAGUCACCUCAAAUCCAUCACAGCACUUAUGAUGAAUUCGUUUCAAGUUAAAUGCUGUAAAGAAAAUACUUCUCUUUUUUACUAUUAAUUCACAAUUUAAAAGUGUUUUCUUACUGAACUACAUGUUGGUCCCUCAGAUAAGGAUUUCUCGAGUCUCAGGUCUUUGGGGUCUUUGAGGAGUGUGACUUCUCAAAUUGGAUGACACUGAUCUAACUGGCUGUAGUAUCCAUUCAAGCAUGAGGGAGGUCAGAGCCUGGGAAAGCUCAGGUCCAAACAGCUCUUGAAAGAGGACGUUGCAGGGCAGGCUGCUUUGCACAAAGGGACCUGUAGACACUGAGAACAUCAGUAUACCAGGAACCAGCCCACCCUUUCACUCUGCCAGACACGAGGCUGUGGGUUACCCAUCUUUCCCUGUCUCCUGAACUCAUAGCAAAAACAAAAAACUUCACUUGUUUGUUAACACAUAUAGUUCAAGACGGAAAGGCUUACACUGAAGCAGAAAGGAUUGAGGUUUAUCAGCAUCUUCGCUUUGAGGCCUCAUAAUGUACUUCCCAUGGACUAAAGUUGUUCACUUUCUUUAGAGGAUAUUAGCUAAAGAUGUGGUAAAACCACAUUUUUGCAGAAAAGUGAAUAUUCAAAAACAAAUGUAUAUGGUGAUUAUUUAAUAGUUUUCACUCCACUUCACAACUCAACUUUUGGUUGAUGCAAGAGGGAUGCAAAGGGAGAAUUGUGCUUAUAAUUCCAGCAUUGUGGUGGAAUAAAACAGCAGAGCAUUGCAGCUGUUGAAUAUAGUUUUUUUCUUUUUAUAGGCAGUUUUAAGAAGAAUGCAUUGAUUCUACAACAUGCUAUUGUGAAGCCAUCCAGGACUGUUCACUCACUUAUUUAAGAAAGGUAUAUUUUCCACUUGGGGUGUGAGAAAAAGUGUGGUGUUCACUCAUUGUUCUUCCUAUCUGGCUUUUAUUUUUCUUACUUUUAGAGAAAAUAAGAGAAGUAUCCCUGAAGGAUGAAAUAUCCUCAAAUAUGAAAAUGUCUGCUCUCUGAAGACCAACUGUCUUAGUCUGCUUUUUGCUGCUGUAACAGAAUACCACAGACUUGGUAAUUUA